rnacentral:rRNA from 1 species
CCUACGGGCGGCUGCAGUGGGGAAUAUUGGACAAUGGGCGAAAGCCUGAUCCAGCCAUGUCGCGUGUGUGAAGAAGGCCUUCGGGUUGUAAAGCACUUUCAGUGGGGAAGAAAGCCUUGGGGCUAAUACCCUCGAGGAAGGACAUCACCCACAGAAGAAGCACCGGCUAACUCCGUGCCAGCAGCCGCGGUAAUACGGAGGGUGCGAGCGUUAAUCGGAAUUACUGGGCGUAAAGCGCGCGUAGGCGGUCUGAUAAGCCGGUUGUGAAAGCCCCGGGCUCAACCUGGGAACGGCAUCCGGAACUGUCAGGCUAGAGUGCAGGAGAGGAAGGUAGAAUUCCCGGUGUAGCGGUGAAAUGCGUAGAGAUCGGGAGGAAUACCAGUGGCGAAGGCGGCCUUCUGGACUGACACUGACGCUGAGGUGCGAAAGCGUGGGUAGCAAACAGGAUUAGAUACCCGGGUAGUC